CCUACGGGAGGCAGCAGUGAGGAAUAUUGGUCAAUGGGCGAGAGCCUGAACCAGCCAAGUAGCGUGAAGGAUGACUGCCCUAUGGGUUGUAAACUUCUUUUAUAAAGGAAUAAAGCGAGGCACGUGUGCCUUUUUGAAUGUACUUUAUGAAUAAGGAUCGGCUAACUCCGUGCCAGCAGCCGCGGUAAUACGGAGGAUCCGAGCGUUAUCCGGAUUUAUUGGGUUUAAAGGGUGCGUAGAUGGGUGUUUAAGUCAGUUGUGAAAGUUUGGGGCUCAACCGUAAAAUUGCAAUUGAUACUGGCAGUCUCGAGUACAGUUGAGGUAAGCGGAAUUCGUGGUGUAGCGGUGAAAUGCUUAGAUAUCACGAAGAACCCCGAUUGCGAAGGCAGCUUACUAAACUGUAACUGACAUUGAUGCUCGAAAGUGUGGGUAUCAAACAGGAUUAGAUACCCGAGUAGUC
rnacentral:rRNA from 1 species